rnacentral:lncRNA from 1 species
UUUGUCUAUCGGACGGCGUGGCCAAGCACAUCUAAAAAUAUCGUGUACUUUAGUUAAAACGGAAAUGAUACUUUUUUAUAGAUUCCUUUUGUAUUUCGAUACGGUCUCAUGGCAAGUUGAUCACUACGGAGUGAACAAAAAACGCAGAUCCAUCCAAACAGGGCGAAGACCACUCACAAAGCAUAAUACAGCUGCAACAUAAAUAAAAUCUUGACGAUGGCAUCUCGACGCCGCCGCAUAAAUUAGGACAACUUGGCCACUUGUUGCCAAGAACUACCAGUGUGCCACGUGAAAAUUAGGUCUUUUUUACAGUAGGACAAACAAAUAUGGUCCGUUCAUACAAUUGAGCUGAAGGUCUUGAUUCAUCAAUACUAGGAGGCAAAAGGAGUACUUCCUCCGUUCAACAAUGCAAUGUGUAUAGAUUUUUCUCAUUUGUUUCACAAUACACCUCAUUUCUCUCUUGUUACCCGCAUCCGGUCAAUAACUACUCACAUUCAUUUAUUAUUAACCCAAUAUGAGUAGUCGGGCACUAGAAACGAGAGUUGUCUUGGUCUGAGUGCACAAAUCUAUAUGAGGUGUAUUUUGAAAUAGAGUGAGUAGUAUUUUCCGUUAGAAGGGCAAAAUAGGAAGGGAAAAAAAAGCAAACAAAUCACCGGCCAUAUCAGGUCGUGCAAAAUAGGAAAGAAAUAAAAAAACAAAUAAUACCCAGAUAUUCUGUUACCGAUUCAUUGUUGAGUUCAUGCUACGUCGCUAGUUAGUGGCUUCGUUGCCCACGAAUGAAACGAUUAACGAGUAUUACAGUUCUUAGCAUCACAUAAACAUGAUUUAGCAGAGGCGGCGAACUUUGAUCUGACAAAAGUGACGGAAAAGAGAAAAUGGUGCUGAAGAAUGUCUUCCGUGUAUGCUGGUGCAUGCAUUCGAGUUGGGGCUGGACAG